GAUAAGUAUUCUUGUGCUAUUUCUAUGUAUUAGUUAAACAUUGUAAUUUUUUGUUGUCAUUUUGGGCUAUUUAGUGCAACCGAGCACAAUCUAAUUUAUUCGAUACUCAGCGAGGGAUGUAGGCGUUGGAUAUGGUCAUCGAACCUUUGGAGUUUAGGCCACAAGAAGUCUCUUGUGCUCAAUCUUUAAAUUCUGCACAUUUUACAUUUUGCAAGAUCAUUUAUUUUGCUUCUUGACACUAACAUUGUGUAAACCUAACCUUACAUUAUUCAAUAUUGAC
rnacentral:lncRNA from 1 species